UGAACUCGCUGUGAAGAUGCAGUGUACCCGCGGCAAGACGGAAAGACCCCGUGAACCUUUACUAUAGCUUGACACUGAACAUUGAGCCUUGAUGUGUAGGAUAGGUGGGAGGCUUUGAAGUGUGGACGCCAGUCUGCAUGGAGCCGACCUUGAAAUACCACCCUUUAAUGUUUGAUGUUCUAACGUUGGCCCGUAAUCCGGGUUGCGGACAGUGUCUGGUGGGUAGUUUGACUGGGGCGGUCUCCUCCUAAAGAGUAACGGAGGAGCACGAAGGUUGGCUAAUCCUGGUCGGACAUCAGGAGGUUAGUGCAAUGGCAUAAGCCAGCUUGACUGCGAGCGUGACGG
rnacentral:rRNA from 1 species